UACGUAGGUGGCAAGCGUUGUCCGGAUUUAUUGGGUUUAAAGGGUGCGUAGGCGGCUUUGUAAGUCAGUGGUGAAAUAUGGCAGCUCAACUGUCAAGGUGCCAUUGAUACUGCAGAGCUUGAGUACAGAUGAGGUAGGCGGAAUUGACGGUGUAGCGGUGAAAUGCUUAGAUAUCGUCAAGAACACCUAUAGCGAAGGCAGCUUACUAGGCUGUAACUGACGCUGAGGCGCGAAAGCGUGGGGAGCGAACAGG
rnacentral:rRNA from 1 species